rnacentral:lncRNA from 1 species
UAGGAAGUGCAGUUGAAUUCUGUUUUCAAGAAUUUAUCCAUGAAUGUUGAUUUAAGAUUUACAUUGUCUUUAUCCUGCAUCAGACAUAUUAGGAAACGCCAGACACGAGGAGAGAAAUUGCUGAACAUAGCCUGAUCUAGCUGUGAAUGUCCCUGUUAAUUGCAAGCGAGUUGGACUAGAUGACCUUUAAAGGUCCCUUCCAACUCUAAGGAUUCUAUGAUUCCUUAACAAAUAACAGAGUGAGCAGCUGACAAACUUUGCAGAAUAACACCAUGAGAAAUGGCUGGAUUUCAGAUUGUUACGAGGAGCUACGUGAGAGGAGGCCAGGGUCCACAGUUGGCUGCGUCUCAUGUGAGGGAGUUCCAGUUUGGAGGGAAGCACAGUCCCGCACAAGUAACUCAGGAGCAUAUCAACACCUGGAAUCUCUGGUCUGGUUUCACAGCUGCAAAAGGAUAACUGCACGUGCAGGCUGCUGCUCUUGAUUGUAUUGGAGACUGGAGCUAACAUGAUUUCACAAAAUCAUAGAGCCCUUGUCCCCUUCGUGCUCUCUGUUCCUGUGGAAAGCUCAGCACCUCCAUUUUGUAACAAACAUUGAGCAGAGAAAUGUACUUUAAGUUCAGUCAUGACUUUCCCUGCAAUCUAAUGUGCAAUCACUGCAAACAAAAGAGGAUGGGGUAGAAGAACAGCAUUCAUUGAUAGCCAAUGACAAAUGGUGAUGGUAAUAAAACUGGAAGCAACUAAUGAAGGUGCUGUUUG